CCCUCCCCAAGUACAGUUCCAUGCGGAGUUAGUUCCAUCAUGGACCUAGGACGUCAGCACUGGUUUGGGGAGCAGACAGUCCAGCCUGUAGCAUCUGCGUUCUCUUUUAUUUCUCCUCACCAUGGGGACCUGCCCUGAAUCUACUUCUUAUCUUCUGUUUUAACACCAAGUUGAUGUCUGUUUUGGAAACAAAUCAUUUGAAGUCAAGCAUUUCUCCCCCCUGAACAAAUGGAACCAUUCCAUUUGGCUGUGUGAGUCUGGUGCAGUUAAAUCCAUCUCAAGAGUUGGUUGAAGAACCACUUUGACAGUGUUCUUGUGUCCACUGCCUGGUAGACCAGCAGUGUCUGCAAACAGGUGUGUACCCUUUCACCUGUGAUGGUCGUGUUACUGUGUCUCCUUCUGGCAGACACUCCUCACCCCCUCACCCACACCCCCCCCCUCAGUUUUUCCCAGAGUGUGUAUGGAACACAUCCUUUGAGAGGAAUUGAUGCCUAUAGCAUGGGGAGAAAAGUUUUAUUUUAUUAAAUCAAAUAUGCUUGUGAAAUCCUUUGCUAAACAAAAUGGAAUGGAUUUCCUUGCUGGAGGAUUUUUUGGAGUCUCAGUCUAGUGUGCUGCUGUGAUUUGUGAAUCUCCAAGAUGGUCUUAGAGCAGGCGCCAGCAAACUUUGUCUGAAGUACCAACUAGUAAACAUAGUAGGCUUUGCAGAUCAUGUGGUCUCUGUGGCAACUACUCAACUUUGCUGUUGUAGCCUGACAAUAUAUAAAUGAACAAGCAUAUCUCUGUUCCAAUAAAACUUUAUUUAUAAGAGCAAGUGGUGGGCCAGACCUGGCCCUUGCACUAUAGUUUGCUGGCCCCAGUCUUGGAGUAUGGAGUAUUUUCCAAAUGUAUUGGAUCAUGAAAUUCUUUUUUUAUAGUUUUUAUUUUUUCCAUUGUAGUUGAUUUACAGUGUUAUGUCAGUUUUUGCUAUACAGCAAAGUGACCCAGUCGUGUAUUCUCGCCUCUUCCUCCUUCAAGUUCUGUCACCAGUUCCCUGUGCUAUACAGCAGGAUCUCAUUGCUUAUCUACUCCAAAUAAACUCAUGGACUUGGAGAACAGACGUGUGCUCUUUUCACAUCUGGGACUUAGAGCGCAGGCCUGACCCAGAAGGCCAAGUGCUUGUUGAAGGGGUGAGCGGCUCAGGGCGCGAAUGGACCAGCGCCAGGAACCGUUUCUGUGGAUCCGCAUGGGGGAGUCACUCUUACUUCCCCGUGAGCUAAUCAGGAGCUCUCACUUCCCUACUCCUGGGAGAGCGGAGACCUCCCUGGAAAUGCAGGCCUGGAAUCCCUCAGUGGAAGUAGGUGACAAUUUAUGAUGCGGAUAAGCGCUCCUAAGCCUCAAAGAAAAACACCGUGUGUGUACACAGAGCCUCGUGACCAGCCAGCUCGGAGGCCCUGCCCAUGAGGCUUGGGAAACUGCUCCCGACCGACUAGGGCCAAACUGGACCUGGACUUGCAAGAGCCGGCCCACCCACUCCCCAGUCCCUGUGCCCACACGUGGUGGGGUGGGCUGGUGGGAGCCCCCACGUCCGUUUGGAGGGGCCCAAGUGGUCCAGCCAGACCGUGUGCCCACCCUGCGGGGCUGGUCGAGAGAAUGUGGCACAUCCUCUGAGUGUCCCUCCCCCCAGGCCCUGCUGAGGACGUCCCUGCCCCGCGUGCUUGCAGUGGAGGCAGAUGGAAGGGGUCGAGCACCUUCCCCACCCGGACGUCUGCCCUGUCUCCGCUCUUUGUUCCUUUAAAUCCCUCUGAUCCCUCUGGCAAACGCCAGAGACCUCGGCGGCUGGCCUCGGCCGCUCCCUCCAGCCUGUGCCCCCUCUUUGCUCUGCGUCCUCAUCCCAUCCCAUCCUCUGACCCCCACUGGCUCCCACUGCUCCUUUCAGGCCAGGGUUUCCAAAUUCCCGAAGGAGAGUAAUCUUUGAAAUUCGGGAACAACAUAUCAGAAUUCCUGGGGAAAAAAAUGGUAAUUCCUGAAAUCAUAAAUGAUUUUACAUUCUACUGUUAUUUAUGUGAUUUAAAUAACAGCAAGAGACCAUGAGAGUGAAUAGUAAAUUGUUUUUCUGGGAGUGGACGAUAUGAGAAGUUUGAGUUUUUUUGAAUUGAAAAAUAUAAUGAAACAUAUAGCAUAUUGUUUUUUAACAUACAUUUUAAAAUGCUUUUAAAUGUUUUUUAAAUACAUUUAAAUCCACGUAUAUUGUCAAGAUUAUGGAAUUCAAUAAUGGAUAGCAUUUCACAUUAAUUUGCAUCCGAUUCAGAUUCUGAUAAUAGAAAAUAUUAAAAGAAAGAUACGUUAACACAAACAUGUCAAAUAAAAAUCAUUUUAAAGAUUGAAGUGCCA
ensembl:lncRNA